rnacentral:rRNA from 1 species
UGGGUAACCUGCCUUAUAGUGGGGGAUAGCCUUUCGAAAGGAAGAUUAAUACCGCAUAAGAUUGUAGUAUCGCAUGAUAUAGCAAUUAAAGGAGCAAUUCGCUAUAAGAUGGACCCGCGUCGCAUUAGCUAGUUGGUGAGGUAAUGGCUCACCAAGGCGACGAUGCGUAGCCGACCUGAGAGGAUGACCAGCCACACUGGAACUGAGACACGGUCCAGACUCCUACGGGAGGCAGCAUG